CUCUGGAGUGUGUCUGAAACCUCAAGGACCUUGAAACCUUGCCUGCUCUGAUGAAUCACCUACUCACAGUCCUCUAGACAAUCCCCUUUCUGCAGGAUGAGAAAAUAAGAUUUGAUUACCCACUGUGGUGGCUUGAAUGCAAUUGAAUCCCCAUAAUCCCCAAAGGAGUGGCACUAUUAGGAGGUGUGGCUUUGUUGGAGUGAGUAUGGUCUUGUUGGAGAAGUAUGUCACUGUGGGGGUGGGCUUUGAGGUUGUUUUGCUCAAGACAUCACCCAGUGUCUGAGAUUAUUUCCUAUUGCCUUCUGAUCAAGAUGGAGCCAGCACCAUGUCUGCCUGCACGCUGCCAUAAUCCCUGCAAUGAUGAUAACGGACUGAACCUCUGAAACUGUAAGCCUCCCCAAUUAAAUGCUUUCUUUUAUAAGAGUUGCUGUGGUCAUGGUGUCUCUUCACAGCAAUAGAAACCCCAAGACACCCUCCAUGUGGGAGAACUGUCCCUGAGGUUUCUCUUCAGCAGAGGAGACAAUGGCUAUAUAGCCUGACACUGGAGGCCAACACAGAUGCCCUGGAAGGAAGGCUGAGUGGAGCCUACAGAGAAGGGCUGGUGUGUCUGGAGACUCAGGUCAGAGAACCUUGGGGGAGGGGGCAAAGGAGGGGAGCUGAGCUGGAUCCUCACCAAGUUGGGAUAAAAGUCACCGGAAUGGCCUGCACAGAGCAGAGGGAUGGGGACAGUGCAGACCCACUGUACAACCACAAGAAAUGGCUAAAGCUUGGAAGCAGUAGGUGGGAAUCCCAGAAAGAGAGGGGAAGGGAGAGGUGCCUCACCCCCAAUGUAGACGGCUCCUAGACAGCUGACACACUGCAAAAUGCUGUCGAGACAGGGGGAGCAGACUCCUGUUGGUGGGAGGAGGCAAUGAGUCAACCCCAGCCAGAGUGAAGGAGGAAUUCAUGUAUGGCAGAAGCCCUCUACACCCUUCUGGGUCUGUGCUGGCUAUGGCUCUGCAGGAGACAGUUCUUUCAAAAGACUUCAGUUGCGUUGCUUCUCCAGAAGUUUCCCAGGGUCUGGAUCUUGCUAACUUCUUUCCACGCCAAACCUCUGAAACAAAUGCUAUUUGUUGUGUAUGUGAAUUCAGCCCAAAAUUUCAGAAUGCCUAAAACUCAAUUUGACUUUUUCCUGCGAGGCUUCAUACUGAUUUUAGCACCCCACGCUGUUGCAGUCUUGCAAGGAUGCCUUUGUCCCUUUUCCCUAGCCUCCAAGGUACCAGAAGACAAAGUCAAGCUAAAGAAUUUGGUCCUUAGGUCACUGUGUCCAGAGGCAUGGGCUCAGCCACCCAGAUCUCACCUCAGUGCCACCGCGAAGUCACUGUGUCCAGAGGCAUGGGCUCAACCAUCCAGAUCUCACCUCAGUGCCACCAUGAGUAAGCAAGGGACGUCCGGCUGGAAAGUGUAA
rnacentral:lncRNA from 1 species